CCCUCGACCCGCAACCCAAACCCUAACCCUCCCGUCGGACCCCUGUCCCCUCUCCCCAAUUGGACCGUUGCCGCCGCCGCCGCCCACCUACGGCGGCCAAUCCCGCCUCCUUGCCUUCAUCGACGACCACCCGCUCCCACCGCCCGCGGCUAUACCGUCCUGUCGACCACCGGUGGCCUGCUCGCCGGUGAGUACGUGCAGCGAUCUCAAGAGAAGCGUGCUCGCAAGGGGAGGGGGAGGUGCCGGAUCUCGCGGGACAAGUGCGUCAACAACGUGUGAAUCCUCAGAUGGAUAUGCAGGCUAUGGAUCGAUGCCACCAUAUUGGGAACAUUUUGUUACAACUAGAAUUGUCAUGCUUAGGAUUUCCCUUGCUGAUUGGGAACAUUUUGUGAAACUUAUGUUAUUCAUGUAGCUUUUGCAGUGGAAGGGCAAGUGAAAGAGAAGACUCGUUGGUGCCAACUGCUGAAAGACCUCAGUGAGAAAUUUAAGGCGUUGAAGAUAGAGCACCAGAUGUUACUGAAAGAAUCAGUGGACUACAAAAAGUGUUUGUAAGAUGUUACAUAGAGGUACUUGACGCGAGUCCCUCCAGGGCGCGAGAGGGUCGCUCGUGGGCGUGCCGUGCCGCAGGGCUUGGACGGGAGGGCGUCCUUGGUAGCUAUGGCAAUCGCCGGAACAAGACCCACACGUUGUGCAUCCGCUACGGCCGCCGCAGCUUCCACAUGCAUAAGAGCACCUGCUCCUUGUGUGGCUACCCCACCGCCCGCAUCUGCAAGUGUGAAGUGCGAAUCUAAGUCCGAAGCUCUGAAGCAUAUCAGCGAAGAGUAGCAUAUUAUAUGUUGUAAUUGUAGGCAGUAGUAGGCUUUUCUGGGUUGUAGUAUAUUGUAACGAUUGUAAUAUACUAAUGUAGUCUUGUUUUGGAUGAAUUUCAUUUGCUCUCUGGAUUGUUUGAAAUAAUGAUUGUGUAUGUGAUUUGAAUACCCGUCAAAGGUAUACAUUGCUCA